rnacentral:rRNA from 1 species
GACGAACGCUGGCGGCGUGCUUAACACAUGCAAGUCGAACGGUAAGGCCCUUCGGGGUACACGAGUGGCGAACGGGUGAGUAACACGUGGGUGAUCUGCCCUGCACUUCGGGAUAAGCCUGGGAAACUGGGUCUAAUACCGGAUAGGACCACUGCCUGCAUGGGUGGUGGCGGAAAGCUUUUGCGGUGUGGGAUGGGCCCGCGGCCUAUCAGCUUGUUGGUGGGGUGAUGGCCUACCAAGGCGACGACGGGUAGCCGGCCUGAGAGGGUGAGCCGCCACACUGGGACGGGGAUACGGCCCAGAUGCCUAUGGGGGGCAGCGGUGGGGAAUAUGGCACAGUGGGCACAAGACUGAGGCAGCGACGCGGCGUGAGUGAUGACGGGCGUCGGGUUGUAAACCUCCUUCAGCACCGACGAAGCGUAAGUGACGGUAGGUGCAGAAGAAGGACCGGCCAACUACGUGCCAGCCGCCGCCGUAA